rnacentral:rRNA from 1 species
UGGGGGAUAUUGCACAAUGGGCGAAAGCCUGAUGCAGCAACGCCGCGUGAGGGAAGACGGUUUUCGGAUUGUAAACCUCUGUCUUCGGUGACGAAACAAAUGACGGUAGCCGAGGAGGAAGCCACGGCUAACUACGUGCCAGCAGCCGCGGUAAUACGUAGGUGGCAAGCGUGGUCCGGAAUUACUGGGUGUAAAGGGAGCGCAGGCGGGGAGACAAGUCAGCUGUGAAAACGAUGGGCUUAACCCAUAAACUGCAGUUGAAACGGUGGUUCUUGAGUGGAGUAGAGGUAGGCGGAAUUCCGAGUGUAGCGGUGAAAUGCGUAGAUAUUCGGAGGAACACCAGUGGCGAAGGCGGCCUACUGGGCUCUAACUGACGCUGAGGCUCGAAAGUGUGGGGAGCAAACA